rnacentral:sRNA from 10 species
CAACGAAAUAAAUCCUGUCGGAUUUGUGAAAUGCGCUUCGCGCGUGAAAUAUGGCUUCGCCAAGUGAAAUGCCUG